UUUUAUUUCUUACUGAGUUUUAUUUUUUAUAAUCAUUUGACAGUAAUGUUUUGUAUGUCAUGUGCAAAUGUGUAAUACUUGUAUCACACAAACUUUGUUGUUUUUUUUACUAUGUAGCUGUCUUCAAUAAUCCUACCUACAGAAUACAGCCAAUUUGUAAAAGAGCAACAGAAAAUACAGAGAAUAGAAAUGAAAAGUAUUCAAACUAUGGUCUUUAAAAGACUCAGGACAAGUUGAAGCUGUUGUUGGCCCUUACAAACUAUAUGACACAUCUUUCAGAACACUUUGUGCACAUGGCUGGCUGGCAGAUGAAGUCAUUGAUGCAUAUCUCUAUGUCAUCCUUCAAAAUAGCAAGAUACCUGUGCACAGAAUGGAUGCAGUUAUUGGAUCAUCCAUCUUUCAUCAUGGCCAGUACAUGGCUGUUCGAAGGAUGGCAUUACCCAAGGCUUCCAUUUGGAUGUGUCCUGUAAAUGUGGGAGGUCACUGGAUUAUAGUGGUAUGUCAUGUCAACCGCUUCAGCCAUUUACCUAUAUAAAGAGCCUCAAAUCUGUAAUUUUAUGUGUGCGUUCAUGUGUGUAUGAGAGGAAUAGAAAUUGUUUAUUGUCCCACUGAGGGGAUAUAUUAUACAUGUAGGUGUGCAAACAAAUAUUUUUGUGUAA